GACGAACCGUGCGAACGUUAUUCGGAGUCAUUGGGCGUAAAGCGCACGUAGGCGGCCUGAUAAGUCGGGUGUGAAAGCCCUGGGCUCAACCCAGGAAGUGCACUCGAAACUGUCAGGCUUGAAUAUGGAAGAGGGUCGCGGAAUUCCCGGUGUAGAGGUGAAAUUCGUAGAUAUCGGGAGGAACACCAGUGGCGAAGGCGGCGACCUGGGCCAAUAUUGACGCUGAGGUGCGAAAGCGUGGGGAGCAAACAGG
rnacentral:rRNA from 1 species